GCUCUGUGCAAGCCAGGUGCGGGCGGGAGAACAAAGCUGCUGCCGCCCCCGUGUGAGCCGGGUCCGGGCUGAGCAGCUGCUGCUCCCGGGUCUGUGCGGGGGGGUCCGGCAUUAACCCCUCCGUGCCCGGCCGGGGGCUUUCUCCAGCUGGGCCCCGCCCCCGGGCUCUGCCCGCCCAGCCCCGGCCCGGAGCCCCCGCUUGUGCCAGAAUCCUGGCUCCAAGCACUGCCCAGCAUUCCCGAGCCACAUGCCUGGUCACUGUGAUAACUUUCUAUCCACUUAUCGAGCACUAUGAGGUGAAAUCACAGAUUUUGCUUUUCUCCUCUCUUGAAAACUGCAGGAACUUCUGGUUCCCUUGGGAAAACUUGUUCCCCUAGUCUUUGUCCUAGAUCUAGGGGGUGAGGGACGUGGGAGGGGAGUUAGCACUGCCACACAGUGUUCUCUUGCACAGCAUUCUGGACUCAUUCUUUCUGAAAUCUGGUUUCAUUGAGACCAUUGUUAAUCUAGAGUCAUUGCAUAGAGAGACAAGGAGUGACUCCAGAUGGACAGUGGGGCAAAUGAGAUCAGCAGUUCUCCCUGUGAAGAGAGGCUCUCAUUAGCUCCUCUCCCCAGAGAGCUAAAGGAGGGAAGCUGCUCAAAUGCUCUGUCCCUCUCUGCUCAGGAUAUUGGGGUUCAGCUUCCUGGGUCAGACUCUAUAGCCUCCAUUGCGAUCUGGGAGACCAGGCUUAGCUGCUGCUGCUUCCCCAGCAAGGGCUGUGUGCUGGGGUGUGACCUUAAUUAAAGCUGCUUCUCUGCCUGGCCCAGGGGAUGACUUUCUCCAGCUGGUCCUAGCCCCUAGGGCAGCCCUGGGCACUGUUAAUACUAAAUUCUGAGCCAGAGACUCCAGGCUGCAGAAUGACGUCCAUGUUUCGCUCCAGAUCAUCCCACCCUCCCAUGGGAGAAGGAAGAGAAAUGGCGACAGAGGAGCCUGUUCAGGGGCUGGUGACCUUCGAGGAGGUGGCUUUGUAUUU